rnacentral:rRNA from 1 species
UGGGGAAUAUUGGACAAUGGGGGCAACCCUGAUCCAGCAAUGCCGCGUGUGUGAAGAAGGCCUGCGGGUUGUAAAGCACUUUGAGCAGGAAAGAAGGGUAGGAUGUGAAUAGCAUUCUGCAUUGACGUUACCUGCAGAACAAGCACCGGCUAACUCCGUGCCAGCAGCCGCGGUAAUACGGAGGGUGCGAGCGUUAAUCGGAAUUACUGGGCGUAAAGCGCGCGUAGGUGGUUAGAUGAGUCUGAUGUGAAAGCCCUGGGCUUAACCUGGGAAUGGCAUGGGAUACUGUCUGACUAGAGUGUGGGAGAGGGGUGUGGAAUUUCCGGUGUAGCAGUGAAAUGCGUAGAGAUCGGAAGGAACACCAGUGGCGAAGGCGGCACCCUGGACCAACACUGACGCU